rnacentral:lncRNA from 1 species
GUGUUGGCUAGCUGGCAAGGAAAACAUGGGAAGACAGUGCCAUGCCGCCAUUAAAAGGAGGCAGUGUACGCAUAUGUAUAUACUGUGUAAUAUUUUUUAUUCUUGAGAACUGCAGAAAAUCUAUUUGUUUUCAAAGAGCCUUUAUUUUUUUAGAAGUACUUCAUUUGAUGUGACACAUCACUUAGAAAAUAAGAUUUUUCUUUGUCUUUCAUUAAUGCCAAUUUUUCUCUUUCAUGUAGUCAAGAAGAUAUUGAAGAAAAAAGAAUUCAUUUGCCCAGAUCCUUGAGAUGCUGCGACUCUGGCCCUUGGGGAACAAAGGAGAGGCCCUUGGGGAACAAAGGAGAGGAGGACUGUUUGGCAGAGACCUAAAUGGGGAAAUGUCGCCCAAGUUGUCUCCAGAUCUUGAGGGGACAGAACUGGAACUAAAAGCAGAAACACUUUCCACCCUCAAAUACCUGCAGGAAAUUCUCUCCACACUCUUUGUGGGUUUUGACCCACAGCUGAUCUUCUGAGCGUUCUGGAUCUAAAUUGGGAUAGCCCAGAUGCGACCUAGUGAAGAUGCAGGAGGGGGCGUUCUGGACGGGGUAAGAAACAGUGGACAUGCUCACUCCUCCGUGGUCUACAUCCCUAUUUUGGG